GAAAGAGAGGGAGCUUGCUUCCUCAAGCGAGUGGCGAACGGGUGAGGUAACGCGUGAGGAACCUGCCUCAAAGAGGGGGACAACAGUUGGAAACGACUGCUAAUACCGCAUAAGCCCACAGGUCGGCAUCGACCAGAGGGAAAAGGAGCAAUCCGCUUUGAGAUGGCCUCGCGUCCGAUUAGCUAGUUGGUGAGGUAAUGGCCCACCAAGGCGACGAUCGGUAGCCGGACUGAGAGGUUGAACGGCCACAUUGGGACUGAGACACGGCCCAGACUCCUACGGGAGGCAGCAGUGGGGAAUAUUGCACAAUGGGGGAAACCCUGAUGCAGCGACGCCGCGUGGAGGAAGAAGGUCUUCGGAUUGUAAACUCCUGUUGUUGAGGAAGAUAAUGACGGUACUCAACAAGGAAGUGACGGCUAACUACGUGCCAGCAGCCGCGGUAAAACGUAGGUCACAAGCGUUGUCCGGAAUUACUGGGUGUAAAGGGAGCGCAGGCGGGAAGACAAGUUGGAAGUGAAAUCUAUGGGCUCAACCCAUAAACUGCUUUCAAAACUGUUUUUCUUGAGUAGUGCAGAGGUAGGCGGAAUUCCCGGUGUAGCGGUGGAAUGCGUAGAUAUCGGGAGGAACACCAGUGGCGAAGGCGGCCUACUGGGCACCAACUGACGCUGAGGCUCGAAAGUGUGGGUAGCAAACAGGAUUAGAUACCCUGGUAGUCCACACCGUAAACGAUAAAAAGAGGUGUUGGAGGAUUGACCCCUUCAGUGCCGCAGUUAACACAAUAAGUAAUCCACCUGGGGAGUACGACCGCAAGGUUGAAACUCAAAGGAAUUGACGGGGGCCCGCACAAGCAGUGGAGUAUGUGGUUUAAUUUGACGCAACGCGAAGAACCUUACCAAGUCUUGACAUCCUGCGACGGACAUAGAAAUAUGUCUUUCCUUCGGGACGCAGAGACAGGUGGUGCAUGGUUGUCGUCAGCUCGUGUCGUGAGAUGUUGGGUUAAGUCCCGCAACGAGCGCAACCCUUACUGUCAGUUACUACGCAAGAGGACUCUGGCAGGACUGCCGUUGACAAAACGGAGGAAGGUGGGGAUGACGUCAAAUCAUCAUGCCCUUUAUGACUUGGGCUACACACGUACUACAAUGGCGUUAAACAAAGAGAAGCAAGACCGCGAGGUGGAGCAAAACUCAGAAACAACGUCCCAGUUCGGACUGCAGGCUGCAACUCGCCUGCACGAAGUCGGAAUUGCUAGUAAUCGUGGAUCAGCAUGCCACGGUGAAUACGUUCCCGGGCCUUGCACA
rnacentral:rRNA from 1 species